rnacentral:rRNA from 1 species
CCACAAUGCGCGAAAGCGUGAUGGGGGGAUCCUGAGUGCUUACACUUCGGUGUAAGCUUUUGCCAAGAGUUCACAUCUUGGAGAAUAAGUGGUGGGUAAGACCGGUGCCAGCAGCCGCGGUAACCCCGGCGCCACGAGUGGCAAUCUUAUAUUGGGCCUAAAGCAUUCGUAGCAGGAUUAAUAAAUCUCUUGUGAAAUUGUCGAACUCAAUACGACAGCGUGCAGGAGACACUAUUAGUCUAGAGAUUGGGAGGAGUUGGGAGUAUGCCUUGGGGAGCGGUUAAAUGUGAUAAUCCAAGGUAGACUACCUGUGGCGAAGGCGCCCAACUAGAACAAUUCUGACUGUGAGGGAUGAAAGCUAGGGGAGCGAUCCGG